rnacentral:lncRNA from 1 species
ACUGCUCGUGGUAAGUGGCUUCGUGGUCUUUAUAGCUGUUACUCUUUUGUACUUUGUCUUUUUCUUUUAUUUUCUUUUGAGCGAUUGUGCGAACAUAGCAUAGCACGCACUAUGCCUUCUGUGUUGUAGCUGCCUGGCCAGGGCGACUGGCGGAUAAGGUCUUGUGCGUGGCCUCGAGGCUUAAAAGUAGCAGUGGGGCUUUGUGAAGGACAAAAUGGCGAUGGCGGGCCGUGUAGGUCCCCCUUCCUAUGAUGAGGACCUUUUCACAGACCUGUACUGAGCUCCGUGAGGAUAAAUAACUCUGAGGAGAUGGGCCCUGCAAGCCUCUUGCUUAGCCGUCUGUUCAGAAAAUAGCGUUUUCGAAAUGCCCUGAGUUGACCUAAUGUCUUAUUGGGCUCCUGUCUGCAGGAUUUACGCGCACGUUGGAACCGAAGAGAGCUCUGUUGUUGCAAUGUUCAGCCCACAAGAGCUUACUGGUGAAGGAAUGGGACAAGACCCAUCUUUAUGCAAAGCCAGCGUUACAGUAAUGUUCCAGCAUCUCAUAAUCUAUCCUGGGGAAUUCAGCUGCCUCCCAGGGUGAAUACAGGUAUUCCUGAUGACAGUCUGCCUCUAUCUUACAGAGCAGCUUGUUGCUAUAUACCAUUGAAAAGCCUUCAGAGCUGAGAGGUACUACUAACCAAUAACCUGCUUGGCUCAAAGGGCCAGCACCUUCUCUCUAAAGCCCAAGAGGAGUUUGAGGAAAACUAGGUGUCUGUGUUCACUCCAGGCUGAAGUUACAGGUCUGAGCAAAUAAGGUGUAUAAAAAAUGGAAUCUGUCUUGGAGGACAUCAGAAGGUGAAUUUUCCAAGUUCUUGGACAACCUAGCUGUUGAAAAGCUUUCUGGGUUUGGGGGGUAUUUCAGAUGUACCUUAAAGUGUUAGCAGACACAGAUUAAGACACUGGGAGCCAAUGAAACAGCAGUUGAGGGUUUGCUGUGUAUCACAUUUCUGUAUUUUAUCACCCCCUUCCUGCAACAUUAUUUAUCUGGAAUCUACCUGCCCUUUUGUUUUUUAGAUACAAGGGCUUGGUUUUGUUACCCAGGCUGGUUUCAAGGCCAUAGCUUUAAGAGAUCCUCUCACCACAGAUUUCCAAAGUGCUGGGAUUGCAGGUGUGAUUCAUGGCACCCAGACUUUGCUGCCUUUCUUACAUGAUCCAGGCCCAGAACCCAAACUCAGGCACUGUAUAGAUGACCACUUUCGUAAACUACUGACCUAGCUUGUUGCCAAUUGUUGAUUGAACUUCCCAUAACUCCACUUCGUGUCUGUUCCUCUGUAUACAGCCACCUUCUGUUCCCGUCAUGAGCCUUUAGGUCUCCAUUUGCAUAUUGCAAAUACUAUGUUCCAUGUAGGUAGCUCAUUCAGGGCCUUGCUCUUCACUUCAAAAAAGGUUCCCUUGAGGACUGGCUGUCAAUUUGUGUUGCUGUGUUGGUUGUUGAUGAAAAUAAUAAAAUGAUUGAUUACAUA